rnacentral:lncRNA from 1 species
UUGACUUCUUGCUUGCAUCAAAGCAGGUUAACCAUUCUCUAUGUGGUGUCAUAUGAUUUGAGCACCCUUAGUCAAGAAACCAUUCUUCAUUUUUCUCACUCUCUUCUGCUACAUUGGCUUCUUGUUGGGCCUUCUUGUACCAACACUCAUCAGCAAAGUGACCAUGUUUAUCACAGUUAUAGCAUUUCACCUUGCUUUUAUCAAAAUUCUUCUUCUUGUUUUUACCUUUAACCAAACCUCCUUCUUUAGAAGACUCAAAUUUGUCAUCAGUUUUUGAAUUUUGAUCUUUGG